ACUGAGAAGAAUCGAGAAAGAAACAGAACUAUCCAGGUCGAGAACAUGUCGAGGUCGGCCGUUCCUCGACAUCUACGAAUAGAUAAAAGCCUGGCUUUACCACGACGUGGAUUCGAACCACCUGGCUCUCCUCCUUCCGGUGACUUUCCUACAGCACACUAGUUCCUCUCGGCUUCUCACGCCGUCGCAGACGUGCAAGGAUUGGUGGCUCGUCCGAUAGUUAGCCGAGGAAGGAUAUUUGAUGUUCGAAACUUCGACGGUUCGACGACAAUUUCCAGCGGCUUCGACAAUCGAUUCUUCUGCAUCUGUUUCUGUUUCCGGCAACUGUUCUUGAACUCCUGAGUUCGAAUACGAAUGGAUAUCUAGAAGAACUCAGGUUGUUGAAUUGGUGGAGUUGGUGUAUUCAGAAAUUAGUUAGUGCUCUGUUCGACCUUCACACGAAGUAGCUGCGCAGGUCCUCUGUCAAACAAGUUGAUAUACGUGAAUCCAAAGACAUUUAGGGACUUCAGUUACCCGAGGAGCAGGAUGCUCGUGCUUCUUGGAGUUCGUGAGGAAAACCUCGGAAUCCAGGUAAGGGACCCGGAACUCCCUUGAUUAGUGAUUUUAUUGUUUUAUAAAAUGUUAAAUGCAUAUAUGAGAUUGCAUGAUUGGUUAUCAAUAAAAAUGGUAACCGGUGUUAUGAGAUUUUGAUGGCUUGAGAGUGAGUGGGGCAUAGUGACUUCCUUGGGCUUCGAUACCUUAAACCUUCGGAGGGGCUAUAUGGACUGAAGAGUGUCUGACAUCCUUUGAGAUGUGGCACUGCUUCUAGGUGAUAUGGCAUAAGUGGACACUCUCGCUACACUUACCUGUUGAACACAUAUAUAGUAGGUAAGUUGGAUAGUGGGUCCAGAAGAGGACCGGUCAUCAGGUACAAUUUUAUGGUGCCGCAUUUAUUUGAUCAUAGAAAUGUUUUUGAAAGUUUGUCGUUCAUUAAAUAUUUGGUUUUAAUCUUGUUUCU